AUGCUCUGGCCGACGGGAGUUAUUCGAAUAAGUCAACAGCCACGCCGCGAAUUCAUUUCUCUUCCUCUCCCCGGAAACGAACGCCCGCCCGCCGCGCCAAGCCCGACCGCCGUCCGGCCACCGCGACCACCGCUGCCGCCCGCCCGUCCGGCCACCCGCCUGACCGUGCCAAGCGCCGCCGCCCGUCCGUCGCCCACCGCCGCAGCCCGCCCGCCCGACCGGCCUCCGCGCCUAGCACCGCCGCCCGCCCGUCCGGCCACGGCCGUCGCCGCCCUCCCGUCCACGCCCAACCGCCGCCGUCGAUUGCCGCGCCGCCCGUCCGCCGUUUGCCGGUGUUGUUUGCUGCGCCGCCCGACGCUGCCGCCUCCCCACGCCAUCCGCCGUCGCCACACCGCCGUCGUCCACCACCGUCGUCCACCGUCUUCGUCCACCACCGUCGUCCGCGCAAGUCGAGGCGUGCACAGUGCACGGUUCUGCCAGGGCUCAACGCCCGCGCUCCCCACCGCCGUCGCAGUCAACGCCCACGCGGAUCCCCCACCAACAAUCCUCCCCACCGCCACCGCAAUCAACGCCCACGCGCCCCACAAUCCUCCCCACCGCCAUGGAAGGUCCACCAUUACCGUGCCAGGCGUCACUUGGUACUUCGGGCAGGCGUAUGAAUGGAAUUUUUCUCCAACUUCUCGUCGAUCCGCUUCUUCUCAUGGAUCCGUCUGCCCAGGCCUCCGCCGCCUAGACGCAGACGGGCUCCUCCUCUGUUCCACCGCAAGCUCCUCGUCCACGCGCUCAUCAUCCGUCCCACCGUUUCUCCUCCUUGCGCUGACGCCGGGCCCACCUUCGCGCGCGGCUGUGGGGCCUGCCUCCUCCAGCCACCGCCGUCGUGGUCGUCUUCCUCGCCAUCUACUGCGCCGCGCCGGUCAUCUCAUCUUGUUGCGUCUGGGUGUCGCGGUAGCUGCUGGACGGCGACGGCUACCUCAUCUUGGUCCUCGUCGUUCUCUUCUUCCUCAACGGGAAGGACAAAGCGGCGGCGGAUUUGGGGUCUUGUCUCCCAAAUUCAAUUCCUCCCCGAAUCUAACCGCCGACGUCGCUACCACAGAGCCCAAAUCUCCAUGGCCACGGCGCGAGAGCAAACUCCACCGCCGACGCCACGGCACCUCGGAGCUCCACAUUGACUCUACGCACUGCGUUGUUGCCUUCUCCGCGCACUGUGCCGCCGACACGCAGGCGGAAGCGCCGCUGCAUCAUCCCAGCCUCCUCCGCACGCAAGAGGAAGUAUAGUUGUAGCGUUGUCGCUCGGCCUGGCUCGCACGCCCAUAUGAGAGCAGAUCAAACCCUCAUCGCGCCCAGUUCCCGAGCGAACCCAACCAACAGCCAAAAGCAACAACGCCUUGCCUUUUCCGCGCCUCUGUUCUCCUUCUCCUGUUCAUCCACGAGCCGCGACCAUGGCAAGAACUACGACAAGGCGAGAUGUGUUGUUGCCCGAGCAAGGCUGCUGCAUCUGCAUGCUCAUCGUGCGGGUGCUGGUGGUCGUCGGCCUCGUCUUCGGCUUCUGCAUCUACACACGUGGCUUCCACAAGCUCACCAGCAGCAUGCACCUGUAGGACGCCUACUGCCCCGGUGCCAGCAGCUCCUUCCGCGGCUACAACCACUUCGUCCCGCCGCCCCUUCUCCAAGAUUUAGGGCCUGGUUGCGGGCCGAUUCGAGCCCUGUCCCGCUCUCGAGUCUCGAUGGAGUUGGAUGAACUGUCGCCGCCACCACCUGUUAUUUUUAUUGCUUGCUGCAUUUUGGUUUUGUUUGAACCAAUCGUCUGAUUACAAUUAUUGCUUUCCAAAACCUUACAGGUUACGUCAAUCUGAAUUUAUUAUACCAUGUUCUAAGUUCAUGAAGACCUUCGGUCAACCAUUUUUGGCUGGUUUGAGGUUCAAAAUGAGAUAUAAAAGUGAUGAUGCUUUUGAAAGAAGGUUGAUGUGCUCCAAAAGUUGCUCUCAUUUUAUACAAAUUUAUAUUUGUUGACGCAUGUGAGUGUUACGCAGAUGCACAUGGAUCAUAGCAUGACUUGGUGAUGCUGACCCCUUGCGGCGUGGUCAAAGUGAAAAUGUUUGAUGGUAUUUUGCCUGCUAUUUUUUCACUUUCUUUGUAACUUUUCAGUUGGUAAAUUUGAUAUACAUGUGCAGAUAGCUGAUGUUAGAUAUAUACAGAUACAAUAUAACGUGUUUCUUUAUACAUGGUACUAGGUAUUUGCAUGAUGUAGCUGUUGUUGCCACCUAAUUGCAUAAUUUACUUGCCAAAUCAAGCUCAGUGCCUCAUUGGUUAUAGUCAGAUAGGUUGGAUUUGAUGUACUUUCCAUUUCUAACAAGCUUCUAGGUUCUAUGACCUUGAAAUAAGAAUUUUAGUGCCAUGAUGACAGGAUCAACAAGACAGUUUCUAGGCCAAUAUGAAACAAUUGACAGUUUCACAGGAAUGUGUCGACCUUGCCCGCAUUUCUUGUUUAUUUGUUUUGGAAUCAAACUGAAAUCUGAACAUUUUUGUUGCGAGCAAUAAGAAUUUCAGUGCCAAGAUUUUACAGACAAAAGUAUAAAAAGUUGUCAAUAAGCUCAUACAAACCCAUACAAGAACCUGUCAUUUGUCUCACAUUUGAUUUUAGUGUUACUAAGCAGUCCUCAGUUUUUGUUUCAAUAAGAAUAUACCAAUCUGUUAUGAAUACAAGCUUGUUCUCAAAACAUCUAUGAACAACCUUGCCAAAAAAUGCAACAAUAUCUAUAACUUGAAUGCCUGCAGUUUCUGAAACAGAUGUGUUUGUCUCACUUGUUUACAGAAAAAGUAUAAAAAGAUGUAGAUAAGCUCAUAUAAACAACUUUAUUUUUAUUCAAAUUGCACUUGUUCUUACAUCACUGUAAUGUCAUCAUUAUUUUCUGAGAGUUGCUCUUGUGUUAUAACCAGGUUUUAUUUUUUUCUUUCUUUUUGGAGAGAGUAGUGCUACCGGCAUUAGAACACUAGACUACUCUAUGUGAAUGGAGUACAUACAGAAACAGAAUACAACUUCCUUCGUUAGAUUCUGAUUGAUAUAAUG